rnacentral:tRNA from 1 species
CAAGACAUAGCUUAAGUUCUAAAGCACCCAGCUUACACCUGAAAAUGACCCAAUAUAGGGCUGUCUUGA